rnacentral:rRNA from 1 species
UUUGCUGUCGUCAGCUCGUGUCGUGAGAUGUUGGGUUAAGUCCCGCAACGAGCGCAACCCUUACCCUCUGUUGCUAACAGGUGAAGCUGAGCACUCUGAGGGAACUGCCGGUGACAAACCGGAGGAAGGUGGGGAUGACGUCAAGUCAUCACGGCCCUUAUGUCCAGGGCUACACACGUGCUACAAUGGCCGGUACAAAGAGUUGCGAUACCGCGAGGUGGAGCUAAUCUCAAAAAACCGGUCUCAGUUCGGAUUGUUCUCUGCAACUCGAGAGCAUGAAGUUGGAAUCGCUAGUAAUCGUGGAUCAGCACGCCACGU